AGUGAACGCUGGCGGUAGGCCUAACACAUGCAAGUCGAACGGCAGCACAGUAAGCGCUUGCUCUUACGGGUGGCGAGUGGCGGACGGGUGAGGCAUACAUCGGAAUCUACUUUUUCGUGGGGGAUAACGUAGGGAAACUUACGCUACUACCGCAUACGACCUACGGGUUAAAGCAGGGGAUCUUCGGACCUUGCGCGAUUGAAUGAGCCGAUGUCGGAUUAGCUAGUUGGCGGGGUAAAGGCCCACCAAGGCGACGAUCCGUAGCUGGUCUGAGAGGAUGAUCAGCCACACUGGAACUGAGACACGGUCCAGACUCCUACGGGAGGCAGCAGUGGGGAAUAUUGGACAAUGGGCGCAAGCCUGAUCCAGCCAUACCGCGUGGGUGAAGAAGGCCUUCGGGUUGUAAAGCCCUUUUGUUGGGAAAGAAAAGCAGCAGGUUAAUACCCCGCUGUUCUGACGGUACCCAAAGAAUAAGCACCGGCUAACUUCGUG
rnacentral:rRNA from 1 species